rnacentral:rRNA from 1 species
GUAGGCAGCAAGCGUUGUUCGGAGUUACUGGGCGUAAAGGGUGUGUAGGCGGUUAUUUAAGUUUGGUGUGAAAUCUCCCGGCUCAACCGGGAGGGUGCGCCGAAUACUGAAUGACUUGGAGUGCGGGAGAGGAAAGUGGAAUUCCUGGUGUAGCGGUGAAAUGCGUAGAUAUCAGGAGGAACACCGGUGGUGUAGACGGCUUUCUGGACCGUAACUGACGCUGAGACACGAAAGCGUGGGUAGCAAACAGGAUUAGAUACCCUGGUAGUCCACGCCCUAAACGAUGCAUAUUUGGUGUGGGCAGUUCAUUCUGUCCGUGCCGGAGCUAACGCGUUAAAUAUGCCGCCUGGGGAGUACAGU